GGGUAGUAUGACGCGGGCUGGACCUCUCGGGGUUACAGCCUUGCUGAAUUAUUCACCCUUGUCUUUUGCGUACUUCUUGUUUCCUUGGUGGGUUCGCCCACCACUAGGACAAACAUAAACCUUUUGUAAUUGCAAUCAGCGUCAGUAACAAAUUAAUAAUUACAACUUUCAACAACGGAUCUCUUGGUUCUGGCAUCGAUGAAGAACGCAGCGAAAUGCGAUAAGUAGUGUGAAUUGCAGAAUUCAGUGAAUCAUCGAAUCUUUGAACGCACAUUGCGCCCUUUGGUAUUCCAAAGGGCAUGCCUGUUCGAGCGUCAUUUGUACCCUCAAGCUUUGCUUGGUGUUGGGCGUCUUGUCUCUAGCUUUGCUGGAGACUCGCCUUAAAGUAAUUGGCAGCCGGCCUACUGGUUUCGGAGCGCAGCACAAGUCGCACUCUCUAUCAGCAAAGGUCUAGCAUCCAUUAAGCCUUUUUUUCAACUUUUGACCUCGGAUCAGGUAGGGAUACCCGCUGAACUUAAGCAUAUCAAAA
rnacentral:rRNA from 1 species